GAACGCUGGCGGCAGGCCUAACACAUGCGAGUCGAACGCAUGUCUUCGGGCAUGAGUGGCGCACGGGUGAGUAAUGCGUGGGAACCGACCCUGGGGUUGGGGAUAACCGCUGGAAACGGCGGCUAAUACCCAAUACGCCUUGAGGGGGAAAGAUUUAUCGCCCUGGGACGGGCCCGCGUUGGAUUAGGUAGUUGGUGGGGUAACGGCCUACCAAGCCUACGAUCCAUAGCUGGUUUGAGAGGAUGAUCAGCCACACCGGGACUGAGACACGGCCCAGACUCCUACGGGAGGCAGCAGUGGGGAAUAUUGGACAAUGGGGGCAACCCUGAUCCAGCCAUGCCGCGUGAGUGAAGAAGGCCUUAGGGUUGUAAAGCUCUUUCAGUGGUGAAGAUGAUGACGGUAGCCACAGAAGAAGCCCCGGCUAACUCCGUGCCAGCAGCCGCGGUAAUACGGGAGGGGGCAAGCGCUGUUUCGGAAUUACUGGGCGUAAAGGGCGCGUAGGCGGAUAUUCAAGUCAGAAGUGAAAGCCCUGGGCUCAACCUGGGGAAUGGCCUUUGAAACU
rnacentral:rRNA from 1 species